GACGAACGCUGGCGGCGUGCUUAACACAUGCAAGUCGUACGGAAAGGCCCUCUUUGCAGGGUUCUCGAGUGGCGAACGGGUGAGUACCCCGAGGGUGAUCUGCCCUGCACUUCGGGAUACGCCUGGGAAACUGGGUCUAAUACCGGAUAGGAGCCACUUUCAGUGUGCUAGUUGGAAAGUUUUUUCGGUGUAGGAUGGGCUCGCGGCCUAUCAGCUUGUUGGUGGGGUAAUGGCCUACCAAGGCGGCGACGGGAAGCCGGCCGGAGGGGGUGGACGGCCACAAUGAGACGGAGAAGCGACCCAGAUUCCUACGGGGGGAAGCAGUAGUGAAGAUUGCACAACGGGCGGAACAAUGAUGCAGCGACGACGCGGUGGGGAUGACGGAGGUCGGGUUGUAAUAACCUGUCGCUAGGGACGAAGAAUUUUGUGACGGUACCUAGAGAAGAAGCACCGGCUAACUACGUG
rnacentral:rRNA from 1 species